CUCACCAUAGCUCAGUUGGUAGAGCGUCGGACUGUAAUUGGUUAACAAUCCUUCAAGCCGCCUGAUAAGGCGACGACAUCCGCAGGUCCUGUGUUCGACUCACAGUGGUGAGA